AGGGGGCAGGUAGGGAGGGAUGCAGGGGGCAGGUUAGGAGGGAUGCAGAGGGCAGGUUAGGAGGGAUGCAGGAGGCCGGUUAGGAGGAAUGCAGGGGGCCGGUUAGGAGGAAUGCAGGGGGCAGGUUAGGAGGGCUGCAGAGGGCAGGUUCGGAAGACUGUAGAAGGCAGGUUAGGAGGGAUGCAGGAGGCCGGUUAGGAGGAAUGCAGGGGGCAGGUUAGGAGGGAUGCAGGGGGCAGGUUAGGAGGGAUGCAGGGGGCAGGUUAAGAGGGAUGCAGGGAGCAGGUUAGGAGGGAUGCAGGAGGCUGGUUCGGAGGACUGCAGGAGGCCAGUUAGGAAUACUGGCCCUGCUUAGGAGGACUACAGAGGGCUGGUUAGGAGGGCUGCAGGGUUCGUGACACUCAGAUGACACUAGCAGGGGGCAGGUCAGAAUUAUGAAAUCAUCUCAGAUGAGCUAUCAUUAUCAGACUCCUGACAUAACUCAGACCGUAAUGAAACUCUCAACCAUAUUCAUAUUCUAGAGACUAUUAAAUAGCUUAUGGUUUCAUUCUAGCACAUAGACGCCCCCCCCCCCCCCCACUUACACUCCCACAUACAUAUUUCUAGAAAAACGUUGUUGAUGAUGUCAUUGAGAUGUUCCCUUGGGGAGUGCAGUGUCUUUCUAAACACACUUUAGUGCCAGUUGAUAGAUGUAUUUCUGGCUACGUGGGAAGUUGUGUUUCUGUAUGCUCCAAGACUCACCACAUGGAUCUGACUGGUUGGCAACAGCAAUAAAGUGAUGGAUAGAAUGCAAAUAUAUGUACAUACGGAACUGAAUUCUCAUCAGUGGAGAGAGAAUGCUGUGUUCGGUAACAGUCUGCAGGAGGAACAAGGGUCUCUUCGGCAGAACACUCUGGUUUCUAAGCUCUUGAGUACUGUUUAGAAAGAACUUGCACACGAGAGAGAGAGAGAGAGAGAGAGAGAGAGAGAGAGAGAGAGAAUCAUUUUUCAGAUGUGCUCUGGCCCUGACAUGACAUAUGACUCAACAGCGUAAACUGCAGUUGACUCUAGUUCUGUACUGUAAUCCUACUGCUGUUGGCUUCAUAAACAGUGUUGUAGAUCAUUCAGUACAUUUACUUUUCCCAUUUGCUUUAGAGAUCCCUUCUAAACAGUCUAUUAGACUCAGGUUUUAUAUACGAUAUGUCUCUCUGCCUUCUCUUCCUGGGAUCAAAGAUGCUGAAUCCACACAUGACAUAUUUCCAUACUUACUUUCAUUUGAUUUAUAUAACGCAUUUCAGAACUGUGUCUUAUUUAUUUUUUACCAUCAAAGACUCUGUUUUUGUGCGGUUCACUGUGAACACCUGGUGUCGAGGCAACAGUCACUGUGUCACACCCGCAAGUAGCAUUACUGUGUAACAGUCAGUGAAGUAUCGUUGCUUUUCCUUCCAAAAUAAAUUAGUAUUUUAAAUUAUUUGUAUUCUCUCUAAAAAAAUGUCCCUGUUUGCUAUAUUUUUGUAUGUUGUUGUUUUAACACCACUGGGCUUCUACAGCUGUCUAUUUGCAUUGUGUGGGUUGAGCUGUACAAGGUCACGUUUAUAGUGGUGUUGCCCUGUCAUGUUGACACUUGGUCUGUUCUCUCUAUGAUGCUGUGCUGCGAUGUGUUUCCAUGGUGCGUAACCAGGGUGAUGGUGUUAGCUGAUGAUCUCUGACUGUAACCUGUGCGUCCCGAACUCCUGUCUCAACGAAAGGAGGCUAUGCAGUAUGUCUGAACAUCACAGAGGGGUUCAGUGGGAAAGAAAGCUUGUCACAAUUUUAAUUAUUUUUAUAUCAGGUUUACAUUUGAAGCAAGGAGGCCAGAUAAGUUUGCUUUGGUCAAGAUAGACACGUGUACACAAACACACGCACACUAAUGAUGUCACAGCUCAUCCACAUUUGGAGAAGGAGAUUCCUAUACAUUGUAGAAUAUGAGUGAGUAGAGGAACAACUGUGCCAAUACUUAGUCUGUCGCUGAUCCUAAACCAAUCAAGAGAUAUCUGAAUCAAGAAGAAUAGGCCACUCCCACACUGAUCUGGUGUGUGGCAACAUUCAUGUUCUAACUGACAAUCAGCAGGAAGUGUUUUAUUCCUAUAAUAUGAGGUGAGGUGAUCAGCAGGAAGUGUUUUAUUCCUAUAAUAUGAGGUGAGGUGAUCAGCAGGAAGUGUUUUAUUCCUAUAAUAUGAGGUGAGGUGAUCAGCAGGAAGUGUUUUAUUCCUAUAAUAUGAGGUGAGGUGAUCAGCAGGAAGUGUUUUAUUCCUAUAAUAUGAGGUGAGGUGAUCAGCAGGAAGUGUUUUAUUCCUAUAAUAUGAGGUGAGGUGAUUAUCAGCCCAAACAAUGAGUCUGAGUAGUGAUUGUCAAAAAAACAAUUGGUUCCAAAAAUAUUUGAAUUGGGCUGCAUGUGUAAAUGCAGCCCUAGAGACCGGAUGAGGAGACACGUUUAUUAGCGGACAAUGUGCAGAGGAGAGCUUCAGGCAUUUUGACAGAGCUCCGGUCUGACAGAGAGAUGCCUGGAUGGAUUCCUGUAAUUGUGUUUUGAUUAUGUUCACCGGUCCAGUAAGACAUUGUUACAGUAAUGUGGUACAGGUAGGGUACCCAGGCUGAGUUGUGACUCUAGUACAGUAAGACAUUGUUACAGUAAUGUGGUACAGGUACAGUACCCAGGCUGAGUUGUGACUCUAGUACAGUAAGACAUUGUUACAGUAAUGUGGUACAGGUACAGUACCCAGGCUGAGUUGUGACUCUAGUACAGUAGUUCAGUGCCUAUAAAUGUGAGGUAGUGCCUCGACCAUGAAUUCUUUAAUAAACUAUUUUGACGUGCUGUCUGA